rnacentral:sRNA from 6 species
GUCUGCACUUGUCGGGGAAGGGUGAGAACCUUCGAUUAAGGUUCGACUCGAGCGAAAGCGAGAGAACCUUGCCAACGGCAACGGCCCGUAGGGUGAGGAGCGAAGCGACGAAUAAUCCUUCCCCCACCACCA